UGCAAGUCGAACGAUGACGGAGGAGCUUGCUCCUCCUGAUUAGUGGCGAACGGGUGAGUAAUACGUGAGCAAUGUGCCCUUGACUCUGGGAUAAGCGCUGGAAACGGCGUCUAAUACCGGAUACGACGAUCGGAGGCAUCUCCUGGUCGUGGAAAGAACUUCGGUCAAGGAUCAGCUCACGGCCUAUCAGUUAGUUGGUGAGGUAAUGGCUCACCAAGACGACGACGGGUAGCCGGCCUGAGAGGGUGACCGGCCACACUGGGACUGAGACACGGCCCAGACUCCUACGGGAGGCAGCAGUGGGGAAUAUUGCACAAUGGGCGCAAGCCUGAUGCAGCAACGCCGCGUGAGGGACGAAGGCCUUCGGGUUGUAAACCUCUUUUAGCAGGGAAGAAGCGAAAGUGACGGUACCUGCAGAAAAAGCACCGGCUAACUACGUGCCAGCAGCCGCGGUAAUACGUAGGGUGCAAGCGUUGUCCGGAAUUAUUGGGCGUAAAGAGCUCGUAGGCGGUUUGUCACGUCUGCUGUGAAAACCCGAGGCUCAACCUCGGGCUUGCAGUGGGUACGGGCAGACU
rnacentral:rRNA from 1 species